rnacentral:rRNA from 1 species
AUUGAACGCUGGCGGCAGGCCUAACACAUGCAAGUCGAGCGGAUGAGUGGAGCUUGCUCCAUGAUUCAGCGGCGGACGGGUGAGUAAUGCCUAGGAAUCUGCCUGGUAGUGGGGGACAACGUUUCGAAAGGAACGCUAAUACCGCAUACGUCCUACGGGAGAAAGCAGGGGACCUUCGGGCCUUGCGCUAUCAGAUGAGCCUAGGUCGGAUUAGCUAGUAGGUGAGGUAAUGGCUCACCUAGGCGACGAUCCGUAACUGGUCUGAGAGGAUGAUCAGUCACACUGGAACUGAGACACGGUCCAGACUCCUACGGGAGGCAGCAGUGGGGAAUAUUGGACAAUGGGCGAAAGCCUGAUCCAGCCAUGCCGCGUGUGUGAAGAAGGUCUUCGGAUUGUAAAGCACUUUAAGUUUGGGAGGAAGGGCAGUAAGUUAAUAACCUUGC